UCGUUUCAGUAUAGACCCGAUAUAGCCGGGCUGUGCCUAGCCCACUUCUAGCCCAAUUAAACUUUAAUUUGGUUACAUGUGGUUUUUGACAAAAUAAUUUGUGAGAUGGAUGCUAUUUUAUCAUGUAAGCAAAGUUAACAGCGAUUACAAGAUAAACAAAAUCCAGUUACAACUCCGAACCGCUAGAUGGCAGCAGUACACAAACACGGGGCCAAAUCUCACGAGAAAGAUUUCCGCUUUUUGAAAAGCAACAACAUCAGCGAGCAGCCACGAGGAAAGCAUGUACCACACUUGUUUGGUCUUGUGUCAAAGCUGUGCGAAACUGGAGGGAGAAACUUGAGAGACCGUGCCGGAAGAAUGCUGGACAGAGUUCACUAAAAUUCAUUAAUUUCAAAGUUCAACAUGAAUGGUGGUGGUCCACUGCAGAAGCAAGCAUUUGAAAAAACAUCAGUUCUCAGUUAUUAAAGAUGCUGUGUUGAACAACUUCCCAGCAGCAACAGAACUGGAAGUGAAGGAUGCAAUGGGGGCAUUUCAAACAGGCACCAGGGAGCACGGGGGGGGG